rnacentral:rRNA from 1 species
CGUGUAGGCGGUUGGUCAAGUCCGGUGUGAAAGCCCGAGGCUCAGCUUCGGAAGUGCAUCGGAAACUAGCCGACUGGAGCGCGAUAGAGGAGGGUGGAAUUCCUGGUGUAGCGGUGAAAUGCGUAGAUACCAGGAGGAACACCGGCGGCGAAGGCGGCCCUCUGGAUCGUUGCUGACGCUGAGACGCGAAAGCGUGGGGAGCAAACAGGAUUAGAUACCCUGGUAGUCCACGCUGUAAACUAUGGGUACUAGGUGUUCGGGGUAUUGACCCCCUGAGUGCCGCAGUUAACGCAUUAAGUACCCCGCCUGGGGACUACGGCCGCAAGGUUAAA